rnacentral:lncRNA from 1 species
CGGUUAAAUUGCCCUAAUGUCACGCCCAGAAAUUCCUCACACGAAUUUCUGAACUUAAUUAUGUAUUAAAAUCCCUGUUCAGGACCAGCCAGGGUACACAAAAAGACAAUGUUGAUUACAUAACCAUCGUCCUUAGAAAUAACUGAAAAUUACACUUAUUCUAGCGGAAAUGCAGCGGAAAGAAAAAGGUAGACUAGCUCCAGCGGGUACGGCUCCAGUCCACAGGCAAAGCUUCGACGGCGN